ensembl:lncRNA
GUCUCGGGUUCACUCAGAGAGGACAGCCAUGCCCAACUUAUUCUAAAGCCUUGAUGAUGGUCAUAUUUUCAUUCAUCCAUAAUGCAGCCUUUGCGCAAGUUGAAAGACCGUUGAGAACAGGAAUGUUAUCUCACCCUUCACAGCCCAAACAAAGCCUAGCACUGGAUCUUGCCAGAGGUGGUGAGUAGUGGAUUUCAUGAAUAAAUCAUGAACUGUUUUCAGUUCACGAUUUUGUAUUGCAUAUACUGUGCUAAGUUCUGGUGAUAUAAGAUGGCUAGAAAGCAAUUGUAGAUCUUGAGGUGCUUACUGAUUUCAUCUAAGAAUAACCUUUAACAGAUUCCACAAUUUUACUUUGACAUUCCCACUAAUGGCUUUAUAUUCUCGAGAAACUCUUUUUAUAGGGGUCGUGGUUUCCUCGAGAGUGAGGUGUAGAUGAUAAUACCCAUAGCAGAGUGAAGCUCUUUACAUUUAGCAAUAAAUCAUAUGAAAAUCCUUCAAACAAGGAAGAAAUGAAUAUAUUUCAAAGUUAUUGGAUAAUUUCUCUCUAGUACCUUGAAGUGCAAGUCUAACUUUUAAGUAGACAAUAUAAUGAGUCCAUUACUGUGGUUGCCUUUUAAUUAUAUUAGUGAUGUAGUCCAGAUUGAAUUCUGGGAGAUGUACAAAUAAAUACAAUAGACCUUGAUGCUUAUUCAUUCCCAACUAAGCUCUGCAUUCUAAAGGCUGCUGAAGCAGCAGAUCCCGUAUAUUUUGCAUUAUCAUGCCAUAUAUUGAAAAAAAUAUGUUUGAGACUGUAUUUUAGUCUAGAAAAUUUCUAGGAUAAUUGCAUUAGUUGUUCUAAUUAUGCAAUUAGAAUAAUUUACAAUUGUAGCAGGUUCUUUUUUAUAACUUUUCAAAGUAUACUCAUAUCCACUAUUUAAUGGUAUUAAUAAAGAUAUUUAUACAUAGUUAAAAUGCUAUUUUAUAAGUAGCAUAAGGAUUGUUUUGACUGACUGAUGCUGAUAUUAAAAAAUAAGGAUAUGGAGUAGUUGAGAACCAGAAUAAUAUGCAGUGGAAUCACCAGCAUAUGAGCAGAGGAAAUGGAUCUGUAUGUCUUGGAAAUCCACAUGCAGAGAACAGUAGACAUAUCCAGCAUCACUAUCUACAACUCUGCUGAAUCUGAACUGGACCAUGUGGCCCUACUCUCUGCACAUCUUCAGCCAAUUUGACCCAACCAAGGCAUUCACUUAUCACCUAGCUUGAAUAGCUAAAUUGGGUUGUUAAGUUUCUUCUAUGAAGAGUUUCUGGAAAUUGAAAUUGGAGCACUGAGAGACAAAGGUUAAGUAAGUAUGAGUAAUUCCUGAAUAAUCCAGGGUGGGGACUAUUGGUUUGCAGCCCUUUGCACGGUAAGCACAACAAACUGAUCAAAAGUUCAUAGAAACAGAAAGAACUAUAGAUAACAUCAAGGUGGCCUCUGAGAAAAAGAGAAAAGCAAUGGAAGACUUUGCUAGUUGAUUUCUGAAGUACCUAUUUCCCUGUUAAUUUCCCAUUCUGGCAGAGCAGUUUCUUACUUUAUAGAUUGAUAAUGCCAGAUACUCACUUCCUCAGCCUCCCUUGUAGCUAGAGAGCAGGCACAUGGCCCAGUAAUGGUCAACAAACCCCAAGAGAAGAUAUGGGGAAUUUCUUGGAAAUAUUUCAUUCUGGUUAAAAGAGACACAAGAAAAGAAACUUCUCUUCUUGCUCUUGGGUGGUAUUAGGUAAGGAUAUCAUGUCUAGAACUAUAGGAACCAUUUUGCAACCAUGAGGUGACAAACCAAAGACCACGGUCUAUGUACUGAAGAUAGUAAAGAGGAAGCAAGAAAAGAGCUCUAGUCUAUGGUGAUUUUGUUAUGUUUUGAAUUAAUCUAUGUACAACUGAUGUAUCUUUAGAUUUAUUGAUAUGUGUGAUAAAAGACAUCCUUAUUUUUCUAGCCAUAGUACUUGAGCAUACAAUAUCUUAACAGCCAUAAGCAUCUUAAUUCAUCAGUAGUCUUAUGUUCUGAUCUUUCAGUCUCAAGUGAAUCAAUCUCUGUGCAGCCUAGCUGAAACUCACCUAAGUCUUCCAUGAUUUUCUCUUGUAUUCUCACAAAACAAGCCCCUCCUCUCCCUUUUUUUAACUUCUUCACAUGUGUUUCUACUCCUUGCAAAUACAUUGGCCUUGACACAGGCUUUCAGUGAUGUAUUUUGGAAGUUAAGAGCUUUGACCAAAACCACAGCAGACUUCAGCGGUGAUGAAACUGUAACCAGAAUACAGGUUAGCCAUGUGGGCCUCUCUGCUUAUGUACCACAUGCUAUUUCAGAGAUUGUUGGAAAAUAGAGAUGUCAUUCAUUGACGAACUAUUCAAGGCUGUAUAAGAAAUGCUACACUAACCAAUGUAAGAAUAACUUCAAUGCACGUGGUGGCAUCAUUUAACCCACCAUAAAAUUGCAGCAUAAUACCCACUGAAAAAGGGUUCAAGUGUUCAAAGAAGGAGAUCAGAAUGGAACCUGAAUAUAUUCAAUAACUAUUUGAACUUUUUUGUGGCGAAGUCAUUUAAUACUUAUCCAUUUAGAUCCCUUUAAAAGGCAGCUUCUCCCCCCGAAGCCUCUCUAUUAUGAAGCUACAGUCUCCAGAUUGCCAACUCCAUUGUGCAUAGAGCAGAGCAUGCUUGGAAAAACCUGCCAGAUAAGCAGGUUCUCACAAGCCUGGGGAGAGAUUAAGUAUUGCUGUGUGUAGUUACUUCCAGAGAUGCCUUUGCCUCUCCCGCUUCACUGCUGCUGUGAAGUCGACAAUCCUGGAAAUGCAUUUUGAGACAGGGAGUUUCCAAAGUGACAGGCUUAAAAAAUACAAUUCACCUUUUGCCCUUCCCCUCCCAGCUGCAGGAUACCAGGCCUCCUUAGAACUCAGUUUUGUAACUCUGAAUACGCACCAAUAUCUUAAAUAAAUAGGCUAAGCUCUCCUGGGCCAUAGAUUUCCAGUUGUAGUUUCUAGUCUAAAUUCCCUCUGUUAAAUGCAGAUGAUUAAAUGAGAGUGUUUAUGAUUUAAACAACAAGAAAAACCAUCUUUCGUAUCUCCUAGCUAUAUACUCUAAUCUCAAUUUUCUUAUAAAUUCAGAGAAGUAAUUAAUAGCAGACUUGAAUUGGCUCCAGAAUUUCAUGUUUCCUAAACUGUUGCUAACUCAGAGAGGAAAUCAAGUGGAAUCAAAUGCAUGGGAAGAGAAAUCUGUCUUGAUUGUUUCUCAAUUUCGUGGCCAGAAAGGCCUGAGCGGCUCGGUAUAAUGCAAAAGACAGG